UACGAAGGGGGCUAGCGUUGUUCGGAAUUACUGGGCGUAAAGCGUGCGCAGGCGGUGAUGUAAGUCAGAUGUGAAAGCCCCGGGCUCAACCUGGGAACUGCAUUUGAAACUGGCGGGCUUGAGUGUGGCAGAGGGGGGUGGAAUUCCGCGUGUAGCAGUGAAAUGCGUAGAGAUGCGGAGGAACACCGAUGGCGAAGGCAGCCCCCUGGGCCAACACUGACGCUCAGGCACGAAAGCGUGGGGAGCAAACAGG
rnacentral:rRNA from 1 species